UACGGAGGGUGCAAGCGUUAUCCGGAUUCACUGGGUUUAAAGGGUGCGUAGGUGGGCAGGUAAGUCCGUGGUGAAAUCUCUGAGCUUAACUCAGAAACUGCCGUGGAUACUAUUUGUCUUGAAUGUUGUGGAGGUGAGCGGAAUAUGUCAUGUAGCGGUGAAAUGCUUAGAUAUUGACAAUAGAAACACCAAUUGCGAAGGCAGCUCACUACACAAUUAUUGACGCUGAGGCACGAAAGCGUGGGGAUCAAACAGG
rnacentral:rRNA from 1 species